rnacentral:rRNA from 1 species
AACGAACGCUGGCGGCAUGCCUAACACAUGCAAGUCGAACGAGACCUUCGGGUCUAGUGGCGCACGGGUGCGUAACGCGUGGGAACCUGCCCUCCGGUACGGCAUAACUCAGGGAAACUUGAGCUAAUACCGUAUAAUGACUUCGGUCCAAAGAUUUAUCGCCUGAGGAUGAGCCCGCGUAGGAUUAGCUUGUUGGUGAGGUAAAGGCUCACCAAGGCGACGAUCCUUAGCCGGUCUGAGAGGAUGAUCAGCCACACUGGGACUGAGACACGGCCCAGACUCCUACGGGAGGCAGCAGUGGGGGAUAUUGGACAAUGGGCGAAAGCCUGAUCCAGCAAUGCCGCGUGAGUGAUGAAGGCCUUAGGGUUGUAAAGCUCUUUUACCCGGGAUGAUAAUGACAGUACCGGGAGAAUAAGCCCCGGCUAACUCCGUGCCAGCCGCCGCAGUAACAC